ACCCGUUAGGUCAGUGGUAGAGCGCUCCACCUGUAAUGGAGAGGUCCCGGGUUUGAUACCCGGACCAGGCG
rnacentral:tRNA from 1 species